rnacentral:rRNA from 1 species
AAAUCUGGUGGAGGUCCGUAGCGGUCCUGACGUGCAAAUCGGUCGUCCGACCUGGGUAUAGGGGCGAAAGAGCUAAUCGAACCAUCUAGUAGCUGGUUCCCUCCGAAGUUUCCCUCAGGANUAGCUGGCACUCGGACCUCAGUUUUAUCCGGUAAAGCUAAUGACUAGAGGCAUUGGGGCCGAAACGAGUCUCAACCUAUUCUCAAACUUUAAAUGGGAAAGAAGCCCGGCUCGCUGGCUUGGAGCCGGGCAUGGAAUGAGAUUGCCUAGUGGGCCACUUUUGGUAAG